GACGAACGCUGGCGGCGUGCUUAACACAUGCAAGUCGAACGGAAAGGCCCUGCUUUUGUGGGGUGCUCGAGUGGCGAACGGGUGAGUAACACGUGAGUAACUUGCCCUUGACUUUGGGAUAACUUCAGGAAACUGGGGCUAAUACCGGAUAGGAGCUCCUGCUGCAUGGUGGGGGUUGGAAAGUUUCGGCGGUUGGGGAUGGACUCGCGGCUUAUCAGCUUGUUGGUGGGGUAGUGGCUUACCAAGGCUUUGACGGGUAGCCGGCCUGAGAGGGUGACCGGCCACAUUGGGACUGAGAUACGGCCCAGACUCCUACGUGAGGCAGCAGUGGGGAAUAUUGCACAAUGGGCGGAAGCCUGAUGCAGCAACGCCGCGUGCGGGAUGACGGCCUUCGGGUUGUAAACCGCUUUCGCCUGUGACGAAGCGUGAGUGACGGUAAUGGGUAAAGAAGCACCGGCUAACUACGUG
rnacentral:rRNA from 1 species